ACAUGUUCCACGCACUGAGCCAGCUAGCAAGCGCUGGGAUUUUCUAAAGCUCUUUGUCUCUGUAAUUCUGGUUUUGAUUUAUUGAGGAAAUUAUAGGACUUUUCAAUCAUCUGUUUCAUCAGCUGUGGAAGCUACGGUACAAGGGGAAUGAAGUCUGUAUGCAUUUCCUUCCUCACGACCAAAAGUUGGUGGGAGAAGAAUAACUGCUUUUGUUCUGAUGCCAACCACAUCUGGUGACCUCGUGACUAUGGGAGAGCCCAGGUCUUAUGACCACCAUAUCAAGCUCUUGAGGUCUUGCCAAGGAGAAGGAAGAGAAUUUUAAAUGAACAACUAUAUAGAUCCUCAAAUCACAUCUUCACAGGAACUGAGACUACCUACUGAUAUUAAUGCACAGAUAAAACAAUGCCAUUAAAAUAAAAUGAAGUAAUGAAAGUCAUCUUUUCUAUUUAAUGUGAAGAAUAACAGUGUCCUGGUAAUAAAACUCCUUCCCAAUUUGAACGUAAUACUGACAAUGAAAUGGUAAUGGCAUACCUAGGAGAUACCGUGAGUUCAGUUCCUGACUACUACAAUUAAGUGAAUUAUGCAAUCAAGCGAGUCAAAUGAAUUUUUUGGGUUCCCAUUGCAUGUACAAGUUAUGUUUGCACUAUGCUGCUAUUAAAUGUGCAAAGGCAUUAUGUCUAAAAUAUAUAUAUAUAUAUAUAUAUAUAUAUAUAUACCUUAAUUAAAAGAUACUUUACUGCAAGAAAUGCUAACCAUCAUCUGAGCUUUCAGUGAACUGUAAUCACUGAUGACAGAUCCCCAUAACAAAUAGAACAGUAAAAGAAUGGUUUGAAAUAAUGUGAGAAUUACCAAAACAUGACAGAGACAGAAGUGAGCAAAUGCUGUGGGAAAAAUGGUGCUGAGAGACUUGCAUGACACAGAAUGGGAGCAAACUUUAAAUCUGUAGAAAAUGCGGUACCUACAAAGUGCACUAAAGUGAAGCACACAAGAAUGAGGUAUGCCUGGUGUUUACGCUUUAAAUGAAUUUUUUACCCAUCUCUGAUUUUGUAAUAGCAAACACUGGUCAUGUGGAAAGUGCUGGUUCGGUGAAUUCUGCAGAUGUUGACACAUAUCAGUAUACAAUACCAGUAACACACAUUUGUUAAUACUGCUGAUCUUUAAGCACCAGAAAGCUGUCAAGCUCACAGUGGCAGAUACAACAUUUCCAAAAUUCUAAUUUUUGCUUGAAAGCUCAAAUUUGUCAUCAGUGACAAAUACUGUUGGUUGUUUUCCUGGAAGUGACAGGAUAGCAUUUCACUCUGAGAAGUGUCUGUCAAAUACUGAGUGUGAACAACCGUAGAGUGUCUGUCAUUCAUCCUUUCAAGUAAAAAUGGUGUUUCAGGAAAAAAGGAGCUAGUUCAGCUUGCAACUCAAUCACACGUAUCUUUUUCUGAGUCAACCUUGAUGUUAGUAGUUUGGUACGCAAGAGAAAUGCUUUAUGCACCAUUUCCCAUUUCAUCGCACACACUAUGAAAAUGAUGUAUAAUGAAAGGUCAAGAUUGAAUAAAAUUAUCUUUUAUUGCUUCAUCAAAGGGAUUUUUAAGUGAAUUUAAAAAUUCACAGUUGGGAGCUGCCCCCCUGAUUUACGCUAAUGUGCCAGUACCCAUCGUUGCUUUUGCACUCAGAAAAUGGUAACGCAAUGAAUGAUGUCUUAUUAUUGCCAUUAUAAAAAUAGUUUUGAGCUUACAGACUAGCCUCCUUGCAAGGGUCAUGGGAACCCCACAGGGGUCCACGGACAUAUUUUGGGAACCAAUGAUCACAUCAAGGAAAAUGACAGGAGAGUUUGAAAGAAAAUUUUGGCAAUGUUUAAGAAGUUUUUUGGGAAGAGGAGUAGACCAGUAGUUGAUUAGGAACUAGACAGAGAGCAUACAUUCAUUUUAUAUUUGUUUUUGAAACAGAUGAUACAUUUAGGUCAAAAAUAAUAAAAAAUGCUAAUUCCCAGGAGAACAUGUUUCAACCACACACUAUUGAAUCAGAUUUCUCUUAAAUAUUGUUACCAUUUUUUUUUUUUAAAUCAAAGAUGAUUUAGUUAUUGGAUGUACAAAGUGACAAAACACUGAACUCCGUUAUGAUGGAGUUCAACGUGAGCCUUUUUUGGUGAGGCAAACUAAAGCUGCCUCCAAGAAGAAAAAUUCCUGACUGACUUAUUCAUUUCUAACUAAUGCUUAUUUAUGGAAAACAUACACCUUAAUUUAUAUCAAACAUAUACUUUAUGCAAUGUUAUAACUGAAGGAUUCAGUCUGUCAGAGGGAUAAGAAAAGGUACAUUUUAAAAUGGUGUAAAGUAAGAAAUUCUUUAGAAUUAAAAAGAAAGUGACAGAAAAAUUCCUUUUCAUUUUAGGAUAGACAUUAAACAACUGGCUGCAUACAGGCUGAAUGAUCAAAACAUGUGCUUUAGUAUUAUAAAAAGCUAACCAACACAAAAGCUAAUUAUUUGAAUUAACUCCAAAUAGUCUACUAAGCAAUGCUUAAACCAACUUCAUGUACAAAUUAAAACACGAUCUCUAUGUGUAUCUUAAUUUUUAAAAAGUAUAUAUGCCACCAUGCAUUGUUAUCCUAAUAUUAAAUUGGGUACAUAAGGAGAUGAUUUCAAUAAGCCACAUAUGCAGCUGGUUAGAAGAGAUUAGCACUUUUCUUAAAAAAAAAAAAAAAAAGUUUAUUUAUUUUAAGAGAAACCAAGAGUAAGAGUGAGA